rnacentral:rRNA from 1 species
AAGUCGUAACAAGGUCUCCGUUGGUGAACCAGCGGAGGGAUCAUUACAGAGUUUAACCACUCAAAACCAUUGUGAACCUUACCUCAACCGUUGCUUCGGCGGGCGGGCCCCAAAAAGCCCCCCCGGCCCCUCGCGGGCGCCCGCCGGAGGUUAACCGAACCCUUGAAUUGUAUGGCCUCUCUGAGUCUUCUGUACUGAAUAAGUCAAAACUUUCAACAACGGAUCUCUUGGUUCUGGCAUCGAUGAAGAACGCAGCGAAAUGCGAUAAGUAAUGUGAAUUGCAGAAUUCAGUGAAUCAUCGAAUCUUUGAACGCACAUUGCGCCCGCCAGUAUUCUGGCGGGCAUGCCUGUCCGAGCGUCAUUUCAACCAUCAAGCCCCCGGCUUGUGUUGGGGCCCUGCGGCUGCCGCAGGCCCUGAAAACCAGUGGCGGGCUCGCUAGUCACUCCGAGCGUAGUAGUUUACACCCCGCUCAGGGCGUGCUGCGGGUUCCGGCCGUUAAAAGCCUUAUUUUACCCAAGGUUGACCUCGGAUCAGGUAGGAAGACCCGCUGAACUUAAGCAUAUCAAUAAGCGGAGGAAAAGAAACCAACAGGGAUUGCCCUAGUAACGGCGAGUGAAGCGGCAACAGCUCAAAUUUGAAAUCUGGCCUCGGCCCGAGUUGUAAUUUGCAGAGGAAGCUUUGGGUGCGGUACCGACUGAGUCCCCUGGAACGGGGCGCCACAGAGGGUGAGAGCCCCGUAUAGUCGGACGCCAAACCUGUGUAAAGCUCCUUCGACGAGUCGAGUAGUUUGGGAAUGCUGCUCAAAGUGGGAGGUAAAUUUCUUCUAAAGCUAAAUACCGGCCAGAGACCGAUAGCGCACAAGUAGAGUGAUCGAAAGAUGAAAAGCACUUUGAAAAGAGGGUUAAAUAGCACGUGAAAUUGUUGAAAGGGAAGCGCUUGUGACCAGACUUGCGCCCGGCAGAUCAUCCGGUGUUCUCACCGGUGCACUCUGUCGGGCUCAGGCCAGCAUCGGUUCUUGCGGGGGGAUAAAAGCCUUGGGAACGUAGCUCCUCCGGGAGUGUUAUAGCCCUCGGUGCAAUGCCCCCGCGGGGACCGAGGACCGCGCUUCGGCAAGGAUGCUGGCGUAAUGGUCAUCAGCGACC